CUGAAAAUGAAAAAGGGGAAAUUGCCAAAAGUGAUUCAAAGGAAGUGUUUUUUGCCUAGUUUUUUUAAUGAGAAAUUGCCACAAUACCACAUUCAUAGUAACACUUUUCAUGUUGAUACCAACCACUUUUACCCUAACUUUUGAUGAAGGGUAAAAAAUAUUUAUACACCUAUGGUUAAAUAAUCUAGACUUAGGGUUUAGAGUUGAGGGGUGGCGUAGGGUUUUUGGAAUGUGAAAUUUAGGAUUCUAAUAAAAAUAUAAAUAAAUACUUAAAAAAAGUUUCAAACAUAAUUUUUGAUUUUCAAAAACAAAUUUUGAAAAACAAAUUCAAAAAAAAAUUUAUAAGAAAGUUCGAAUUUGAAAAAGUAUAAUUCGGAAACAUAAUUUUUUUAAUUAUUAUUUAUUUAAAUAAUUAUUUUUUAUAUAUAUAGAACACAAUAUAAGAGUCUUUUGUCACUUAAUAAAAAAUGUAUUUUUGAAAAUGUUCCUUUAGGGCAUCUCUAAUGGUGCUUCAAAAU
rnacentral:lncRNA from 1 species